GCACUGCUGAGGAGUCGCACAAUAGGACGAAAGAAUCGUCCAGUAC
rfam:Schistosoma haematobium scaffold1607_5, whole genome shotgun sequence.